ensembl:lncRNA
CCUGGAGAUGUUGCUGAGCGUUCGUCCCACUCUUUUCUUGAGACUGACUGAUCAGAGCACAACUUGCAUUUUUCGCUGCACCUUGGUCCCUUGCGUUUUGGCUUUUUCUACAGAGAGCAGUUCAUUGUUACUAUACCUUUUAUUGUUCUUUUCUUGAAAAAAAAAAAACUAAAAAAAUUGUUUAUUGCAUUUUACAAGUUAUAUUUACACAGUGUCUCUUUCAUUGUUGCUUGACUUUUUUUUUAAUUUAUUUAUUUUUUAUUUAUUUAUUUAUUUAUUUAUUUAUAUAUAUAUUUUUUUCCCCUUCCUUCCUGAGACUACUUUGCAGGUUUUGUUCUUUCAGGCUCAACAGCUGUUACGUCGGGACAGAACUUUCAAAGAUGCCAUGGAAAGGAAAGAGAUCUCAGGCUCAAAAAAUGCAUUGGAGAAAGGUGGACCUGGAAGAUGGACAGUUGCAGGAAGAAUUUGGAGACCAUAGCAGUCCUGUCCAAGACCGGAUAUGAGUCUGCAAUAUACCAUCUAAAGCUAAGUUUUUAAUGAUUUUGCUUCAGUCACUGUACUACUGCACAUUAUAACCACAUUUGCAGGAAAAUGUUCAAUCUUGAUCUGAUUUUGAUAUUUACCAGCAACCAGCCAAUUGAAGUCAGAAUUUCUUAGAUCAAGUGUGCUACAAUGCUGAUGGAUGACAAGGUGGAUAAUAGCAUAUGUGCUAGUUUCAUUCUGUAAGGUUUAGUUGAGAGUUAAUUCUUUUUGUACUUUUAGUUCUUCUGUAUGUAGUGAUCCCUUUAUUCAUUCAUUAAUUUCAUGCCCAGAGGACGGGACCAAAUGUUUACGGCAUUGACGACAAUACUGGAGAAGCAGAGGAAGAAGCACACUAAAGCACUGAGGAUAUCCAGCCUGUAGGCCGUGCCAGAUCCAGCGGCUAGAUGGCAGAUGCUUCAUUAGACCACUGAAUAUAUCUAAUCAUUGGAUUAUCAAUUAAUUCAUCUUAAUAUAUAUAAAUUAUUUUAUAAUCAUUAAAUAAUUGGUCUCAAUUUCUAGAUAUAUUAAUAUUUCAUAUAUUGGCUUAAAUAAGAAUUUUACUGUAAGGUGUGCCAUGCCAGAGGAGGAUGGGCUCCCCCUGUUGAGUCUGGUUCCUCUCAAGGUUUUUUACCUCCUAACUCUUUGGAGUUUUUUCCUAGCCACCUUCGCCAUUGGCUUGCUCACUGGGGGUGUUGUGCCAGGUCCUGUCUACCUCUUGGGUCCUUACUGACAAGGGUUUCCAAAAUGAGGCUUUUGUGAAUUGAUGAAAAUCUUAUAAUGAAUUAAAUCGUGAAAAUGUGAAUUAAAGUAAAAAAAAAAAAAUAGGACUGCACAAUUACUUUGAAAGGAGCAGUUAAAUAAUGUUAUGGCUUAGUGUGAGUAGAGUGUAGACUAAGCUACAAACAGAUGCAAUUUAAUUACAUAAAUAUAUUCUGAUGCAUUGUGUUUCAGAGUGAAGGGUGUGCAGCUCUUGAUCUGUUGUUAAAUGUUUCAGUUCACAGUACAAGCUGCUGCACACAAACUCAAUAUCUGAAUGUGCUAUACUUUUGAGUGACUUACAAUCAAGCUGUAAGCCCCAAGACACCAGUGA